UGGGGAAUUUUGGACAAUGGGCGAAAGCCUGAUCCAGCAAUGCCGCGUGUGUGAAGAAGGCCUUCGGGUUGUAAAGCACUUUUGUCCGGAAAGAAAUCCUUGGCUCUAAUACAGUCGGGGGAUGACGGUACCGGAAGAAUAAGCACCGGCUAACUACGUGCCAGCAGCCGCGGUAAUACGUAGGGUGCAGCGUAAUCGGAAUUACUGGGCGUAAAGCGUGCGCAGGCGGUUUGCUAAGACCGAUGUGAAAUCCCCGGGCUCAACCUGGGAACUGCAUUGGUGACUGGCAGGCUAGAGUAUGGCAGAGGGGGGUAGAAUUCCACGUGUAGCAGUGAAAUGCGUAGAGAUGUGGAGGAAUACCGAUGGCGAAGGCAGCCCCCUGGGCCAAUACUGACGCUCAUGCACGAAAGCGUGGGGAGCAAACAGGAUUAGAUACCCUGGUAGUCCACGCCCUAAACGAUGUCAACUAGUUGUUGGGGAUUCAUUUCCUUAGUAACGUAGCUAACGCGUGAAGUUGACCGCCUGGGGAGUACGGUCGCAAGAUUAAAACUCAAAUGAAUUGACGGGGUCAUAGCUG
rnacentral:rRNA from 1 species